GCGCGGGUGGUCUAGUGGUAUGACGACAUUUAUUAUGCUAAUAGCAUGCAAAACGCCAAACGCUCACACCGUGUAAAUCAGGGGUUCAAUUCCCCUCCUGCGCA
rnacentral:tRNA from 1 species